rnacentral:rRNA from 1 species
GACGAACGCUGGCGGCGUGCUUAACACAUGCAAGUCGAACGGUGAAGCGCCUUCCUUUUUGGUGGGUGUGGAUGAGUGGCGAACGGGUGAGUAACACGUGAGUAACCUGCCCCCUUCUUCUGGAUAACCGCAUGAAAGUGUGGCUAAUACGGGAUAUUCUGGGUCUGUCGCAUGAUGGGUCUGGGAAAGAUAUUGUUUCGGUGGGGGAUGGGCUCGCGGCCUAUCAGCUUGUUGGUGGGGUGAUGGCCUACCAAGGCGGUGACGGGUAGCCGGCCUGAGAGGGUGGACGGUCACACUGGGAGUGAGACAAGGCCGAGACUGAUACGGGAGGCGGCAGUGGGGAAUAUUGCACAAUGGGGGCAAGCCUGAUGCAGCGACGCCGCGUGAGGGAUGGAGGCCUUCGGGGUGUGAACCUCUUUCGCCAGUGAAGCAGGCCUGCCUGGUUUGUGGGUGGGUUGACGGUAGCUGGAUAAGAAGCGCCGGCUAACUACGUG